rnacentral:rRNA from 1 species
UACGGAGGGUGCAAGCGUUAAUCGGGAUUACUGGGCGUAAAGCGCACGCAGGCGGUUUGUUAAGUCAGAUGUGAAAGCCCCGUGCUUAACCUGGGAAGUGCAUCUGAAACUGGGAAGCUUGAGUCUCGUAGAGGGGGGUAGAAUUCCAAGUGUAGCGGUGAAAUGCGUAGAGAUCUGGAGGAAUACCGGUGGCGAAGGCGGCCCCCUGGACGAAGACUGACGCUCAGGUGCGAAAGCGUGGGGAGCAAACAGG